rnacentral:rRNA from 1 species
CUACGGGUGGCAGCAGUGGGGAAUAUUGCACAAUGGAGGAAACUCUGAUGCAGCCAUGCCGCGUGUGUGAAGAAGGCCCGAGGGUUGUAAAGCACUUUCAAUUGGGAGGAAGGUAGUGUAGUUAAUACCUGCAUUAUUUGACGUUACCUUUAGAAGAAGCACCGGCGAACUCUGUGCCAGCAGCCGCGGUAAUACAGAGGGUGCAAGCGUUAUUCGGAAUUACUGGGCGUAAAGCGCGCGUAGGCGGACUGUUAAGUCGGUUGUGAAAGCCCUGGGCUCAACCUGGGAACUGCAUCCGAUACUGGCAAUCUAGAGUUUAAGAGAGGAAAGUGGAAUUCCUAGUGUAGCAGUGAAAUGCGUAGAUAUUAGGAGGAACAUCAGUGGCGAAGGCGACUUUCUGGCUUAAAACUGACGCUGAGGUGCGAAAGCGUGGGUAGCGAACGGGAUUAGAUACCCCGGUAGUC